CGUUGUUUUGAUUGUGCUAUCAGAAUAUUAUCGAUUCUUGGAUAAAAAUCAGCAAUUAUUUAAUGAUUAGUAUAAUUUAUUUCAUAGUAGAAAGAUAAAAUGGUUUGAAACAAGGGAAUCGUUUCCUACAAUAUAUACAAAAAUGCUUAUAUUUAGUAUAAUAUAUUUGCAAUUAUGUAUGAUGUAUGUAUAGCAUACGUCGAUAACGGAUACGUAAACGAAUUCUAAAUAAAGUACCGACAUUUUGAUCGAUCGCGAAUUUGAUAUUCCUUUGUAGCGAAAUAACGCCAAUGUACACAAAAUCACGAUUUUGCUUCUUAAUCUCUUAUUUCUUUUUUUCAAUUGCACGAGCUAUACAAAUUUUUCAUUAAGUGUUUCGUCUCGUAACUUUUAUAUAUACAUAUAUAUUUUCGGAUUGAUUUCAAAUUUUACUAUUAUAAUCACGGUAAUCGUGUCUUACUACAGUACUAACGAAAUUUCAAAAAGUUUCAAAAGUUCAAUGCGAAUAAUAUAUAUGUACAUUUACAACAAAUUUUCUGCGGUAAGUGUCCGAAUACUUUGGUGAAUCACUGUACGUAUGUUCGAUGUACAUGUGCAGGUACAUAUCGCAGUCACUUCUUUUAUUGUAUAUCAUAAUAAUCAUAAUAAGGACCAUAAGUUUCAUUAAAUAUUUCGCGCAAAUUUUAAUUAAUUUAUCUUAUCAUCUUAAUACUGUGAUUAUUAAUAUCUCUAAUUAAAUAUAAAUAUUAAAUAUUCAAACGUGUAGUAGAUAUGAAAUACUACUACAUUACUAUGUCUUAAUUGGUUAUAUUGAUACGUUAUCAAUAUUUUAAUUAUUAAACAAUCGCUACCUCGAAAUUACGAAACUCAUUACAUUUCCAAAUUUAUACAACUAUUUUUAGGUUCAUUUCGUAAGUUUCCGUUAAAGCAAGAAAGCAAAUCAACCGAAGAUAAAAGUGUAUUAUAUUACAACAUUAAAGUUCUUAUGUUCGCAUUAUCGGUUCACACUUUGCCAUGGCUGUGACAGUCAUUGGUGUUGAAAAAUAAUGUUCACUGAUAUAGUAAUAUCAUAUGAGCGUUUAUUAUUAACCAUUGUAAUGGUUUUGCCAUAGCAUAUGUCACAUGUAUGCCACGCCAAUACGCAAGUCCAAUUGUGCGAACAUCGUUAUUAUUAUUGUCGAUACAGUGUCAAACAUAGAAUUAGGCGCUUUAGGCGAAAGCGGUCGAUUUUAUACAACGCAUUUUAUUUUCGAAUUUUCACACAAUCAAGAAUGUACUCUAAUUAAAAAUCAGAAUGUCAAAGUUCAGUCGUGUUGGAGAGUCGAAGGAUAUCAAUUUGCUGUAGAUAGAGCUUGAUACGAAUAUGUAAAAAGACUCUAAACAGUAGUGUCGUCUUAACGCAUCGCUAUCUCGAAAGGUUUUAAGAACUUCCUGCGAUAAAACCUACUUUUUGAGUUCCGUAAACCUGACUACUUUGAUAGGAGAUGUCCAAAAUGACAUGCAAGUGAUAAGAUGAUAAUAAAUAUGAGCUUAAUAUAACGUAUGAGUUGGAAUGGUUGAAAAUUCUUCAAUUAGGCGUUUUCUUAUGCGAAUGUAACAGAUUCAGCUAGUUUGACGAUCUUGUAAUAAACAACUUUCAAGUAAAUUGUACUAGGAACUGUGGAAAUUCCGAAUUUAAAUUUACAUAUGUUAUUUCUACUUGUGAACAUACCUGAAGCAUUUAAAUGAGUGUGUACAGAAUGCAUUAGAGAAUUGAAUAUCAUAUUUGAAUACCAGGAAUUAUUGAAGAGUAACAGAAGAUCGAUGACAAAGCGCCUACAUACCUUGAAGUAUAACCUAUAGUAUUUCUGAACAUCUCCUGUUAUUACAAACUCCACUUAUCGCUGGACAUCCUGUAUAUGUAUACACAAAGGUAUAGGAGGAGUAUCUUACGUUUAUUCUUCACAAAAUAUAAUUGAUAUUCCAAAUAAUUUUUAUAGAAUUUAGCUUUUUGUUAUUAA